UGGGGAAUAUUGCACAAUGGGCGAAAGCCUGAUGCAGCAACGCCGCGUGCGGGAUGACGGCCUUCGGGUUGUAAACCGCUUUCAGCAGGGACGAAGGUUUUCUGACGGUACCUGCAGAAGAAGCACCGGCUAACUACGUGCCAGCAGCCGCGGUGAUACGUAGGGUGCGAGCGUUGUCCGGAAUUAUUGGGCGUAAAGAGCUUGCAGGCGGUCCGUUGCGUCGGAAGUGAAAACUCAGGGCUUAACCCUGAGCCUGCUUUCGAUACGGGCGGACUUGAGGGAUGUAGGGGAGAACGGAAUUCCUGGUGGAGCGGUGGAAUGCGCAGAUAUCAGGAGGAACACCAGUGGCGAAGGCGGUUCUCUGGACAUUUCCUGACGCUGAGAAGCGAAAGCGUGGGGAGCAAACAGGCUUAGAUACCCUGGUAGUCCACGCCGUAAACGGUGGCACUAGGUGUGGGACCCAUUCCACGGGUUCCGUGCCGUAGCUAACGCAUUAAGUGCCCCGCCU
rnacentral:rRNA from 1 species